rnacentral:lncRNA from 1 species
ACCCAUUCAGCAUGGCUUAGUCAGCUAGGGCUCUUCAGGCCUGUGGGUCCACGGCUCAGAUGAACCACCUGGAUACGUUCCCGUGUGGAGCAUCCCCACCGGCUGAAAUGUGAUGAGUUACUGUUGCUACACAGGUGGCGACAGUCAGUUCCCACUUGUUCGUGCUGCUGAUGGGAACUGGGGCCUGUACAGGAACCACGGCUCCCACGUGUCUCUCAUUCCAGGACACUCUGGUCUCACCGAGCGAGGCUUCAGAGUUCUCGCGGUAUCUCGCUUUAAGGUGACUAGCCGCCUUAGUUCAGAACGGUGCCGUCCUGCGCAUUUGCAGAUGCUUCGUUUCACCCAAGAGCCUGCAAUGGUGACCUGGCCUCUUCUGACUCAGGUCCUGUCAGGGUACAAGGUCCAGGCUGGCCUAUAUUCCCCCUUGUUCCAGAGGGCUGUGAGGAACCCGGACGCACAGUUCACUCUCCCGCACCUGACCCAGCAGCCAGGACCUUCAGCAAGCAGGCCUCCCGGGUACCUCUUAUCGGAGGAGAGCUCCGCCCCACCCAGCUGUGCCAAGAUUUUCAAGUUUCCCCUGGAUCUGCCAGGGGAAACUUUUGGGAGGAAUAGACUGCACUGGUUAGGUUCCAGCUUGGAAUUAGACGCCCAGGUUCCCCAAGAGCCCGUGUCAGUGAUCCUGCCUCUCACCACCUUUGAACUCUUCCAGAUGCCUGGCUACGUUGAACGCGCAGCGCAUAGCAUGUGCAUGCGCAGUACGAGCCCACUCAGGAGGCCUUGGGCAGCUGGGGCCCUCCAGGCUUAUGGGGCCAUGGACGGACCUCACCAUCGGGAUGUUCUCCUGGGUGGAGGAGAACCCUCUGCAGUACUCUCUGGUUCUGCGGCUGCAGAGGCAUACCUGCGUGGCGUGGCGUGCCCCCUCUUCUUGGGAACUAGAGGAUUUCUCUUUGCAUCUGCUGAGUGCUAAUGGGCAUUAACACUCUGGGAUCGUCUUUCUAGAAGUUUAGGAGCAGCAGAUACCUGUUCGCCUUUACUCCUUGAGUGCAGCCCCUUGAGGUUCCUCCCGUAAGAUAAGGCGUUUUCGUGCCUCUUGGCUGCCAGGCCAAAAGCCUGGGGAUUGUCAGAAGUGACGCUUGGUCCCUCAUCCUCUCAGUUCUGCCUCCUGGAAUUGACAACUAACCUGGGGUGAAGCAAACCCAAAUGCGUGGCUACUUCUCUGAUCUUUAUCUUCCCCUGGAUCCUACCUGAGAUGAUGCAAGUAACUAGCUGAGUAACUGCCUGAAUGAGUCAGAAUAUUGAACGCACGCCCUCAGGAAUUGGAUGAAGCCCACCUGCAUUUGUGAGGAUGGAUCUUCUUUACUCAGUCUGCUGAUUCAAAUGCUAAUCUCUCCUGGAGACACCCUCACAGACACACCCAAAAAUAAUAUUUUACCAGCUAUCUGGGCAUCCCUUAGCCUAGUCAAGUUGACACAUAAAAUUAACCAAUACAGCCAAUGACUGGAAAAUGUUAGUUACUGGCAUCAUAACUUCUUCUUGAGAGAUUGAUCUUAUCAGUGGAAAAAUUCUACAAAUUGCAAAAGAGGACUACACAAGCAAGCCUAACCCAGAGCUGAAAUCUCAGACUUUGGUGUAUGUAAUUCCACGUAAGCAUAGACGGGGAAAGAGAUGAUGUUUCCUGUGCACUCCCAGUUCAGGGCAUUGCUUCUAGUUCCAUUCUUUCCCCAGUGGAAAUUCCAGGACAGUGGGAGCAGGACAUGAUGCAAGCAGGAAGUUAUGAAAAAAGUAACUUGAUGAUUUAGUGGGAUUUUCAGAUCAACUGGCAGAUCCAGAUAUGAAAAAUGGAAAUCCAGACCAUAAAAGACAUGACUUUUCAUAAUUCACCUUGGUUUCUCAUUCUAGUUCCAAAAAUGGGAGUGAACUUGCAGAUCCCAGGUUUUUACUACCAGGUAUUAGCCAGCUGAUAUUUUCUGUAGUGUCAGACCAAUGGGCUAAAUAUUUCAUUCAAGUCAAUUUUGCUGUGUGCAUGUCAGUCAGUCUUUUUUAAGAAUUAAUACAAACUGCACAGUGCAAAGAAAAAAAUGCCUUUAGGUGAAUUUGGCAGGAAAUAAUAUAGUUGAAAAGUAAACCAGAAGAUUCAUUUAGUCAAUUAAUAACACAUGUUUAUAAUGCAUUUACUCUCUACUGUUCUAGAAGACCAGAAUACUGAACAACAGUGAACAAGACUGGUUUCCUUUGAUGAAGUUACGACAUAGAGGAGGGAGAUAAAUAAUAAAGUAAGCAAAUAAUUACAGGAAAAUGUCUAAUAAUGAUACAUACUAUGAAAACAACUCCUUUCUAAUAUGCAGUAGAGUAGAGAGUAGUGAGGGAACAAGAAUGGGCAGUUUGGGAAAGGCCUCUCUGAAGAGGCUACCUUUGAACUGAAACCUGAAGGAUGGAAAAGUACCAGCCAGCCAAAGAUUCAGAGAAAGAACAUUCCAGCCAGAAGGAAUGUGUGUGCAAAGGUCCUAAAUGGGAAUAAACUCAGCAUUUUUAGGGAACACACACAGAAAAAGGGCAGCAACUGGAGAACAAAGAUGAAGAUGGAGAGCUCUGAAAUGAG